rnacentral:rRNA from 1 species
UACAGAGGGUGCAAGCGUUGUUCGGAAUUACUGGGCGUAAAGCGCAUGUAGGCGGCUCAUUAAGUCGGAUGUGAAAUCCCUUGGCUUAACCGAGGAACUGCAUUCGAUACUGGUAAGCUUGAGUGUCGGAGGGGAUGGUAGAAUUCCUGGUGUAGAGGUGAAAUUCGUAGAUAUCAGGAGGAACAUCAGUGGCGAAGGCGACCGCCUGGCCUAACACUGACGCUGAGGUGCGAAAGCGUGGGUAGCAAACAGGAUUAGAUACCCCGGUAGU